UUGGGGGCCACUGUUAGUGUCUUUGGACAACGACAACAAAUCUCCGGGAUACCAUGUGUAAAAAUUUUGGGUCAAUCUACGUGUCCACGUGGUCAGCGCUGUGUGAAUAAUUUUUGUCGGUCGGAAGAUGGAGAUCAACAAUUUUGCUCCUGGGUUCUUC